GGAAAUAGCUCCAUCGACAUUGACCGUACCCUAAACCGACACAGGUGGACUGGUAGAGUAUACCAAGGCGCUUGAGAGAACUAUACUGAAGGAACUCGGCAAAUUGCAUGCGUAACUUCGGGAUAAGCAUGACUUCUAUCGGGGCAACCCUUUAGGAGUGGCACAAAAGAGGGGGUGGCGACUGUUUACUAAAAACACAGGGCUCUGCGAAGAUGCAAAUCGACGUAUAGGGUCUGACGCCUGCCCGGUGCCGGAAGGUUAAAAGGAGAGGUGCAAGCUUUGAAUUGAAGCCCCGGUAAACGGCGGCCGUAACAAUAACGGUCCUAAGGUAGCGAAAUUCCUUGUCGGGUAAGUUCCGACCUGCACGAAUGGCGUAACGACUUCCCCACUUUCUCCAGUAUAGACUCAGCGAAAUUGAAUUCCCCGUGAAGAUGCGGGGUUCCUGCGGUCAGACGGAAAGACCCCAUGCACCUUUACUAUAGCUUUACGCUGGCAUUUGUGUCGGCAUGUGCAGGAUAGGUGGUAGGCUUUGAAGCAAGGACGCUAGUUCGUGUGGAGCCAAAAGAUGAGAUACCACCCUUAUCGUCAUAGAUGUCUAACCGCGGCAUAACAGUGUCCGGGACAGCGUAUGGUGGGUAGUUUGACUGGGGCGGUCGCCUCCCAAAGAGUAACGGAGGCGCGCGAUGGUGGGCUCAGAACGGUCGGAAAUCGUUCGACGAGUGCAAUGGCAUAAGCCUGCCUGACUGCGAGACCGACAGGUCGAGCAGAGACGAAAGUCGGUCAUAGUGAUCCGGUGGUCCCGCGUGGAAGGGCCAUCGCUCAACGAAUAAAAGGUACGCUGGGGAUAACAGGCUGAUGAUGCCCAAGAGUCCAUAUCGACGGCAUCGUUUGGCACCUCGAUGUCGGCUCAUCACAUCCUGGGGCUGGAGCAGGUCCCAAGGGUAUGGCUGUUCGCCAUUUAAAGUGGUACGUGAGCUGGGUUUAGAACGUCGUGAGACAGUUCGGUCCCUAUCUGCCGUGGGUGUAGGAAUAUUGAGAAGAGCUGACCCUAGUACGAGAGGACCGGGUUGGACGAAUCUCUGGUGGACCUGUUGUGGCGCCAGCCGCAUUGCAGGGUAGCUAAAUUCGGACGGGAUAACUGCUGAAAGCAUCUAAGCAGGAAGCCUCCUUCAAAACUAGUAUUCCCUUGAGAGCCGUGGAAGACCACCACGUCGAUAGGCCGGGUGUGG
rnacentral:rRNA from 1 species